GUGGGGAAUAUUGGACAAUGGGCGAAAGCCUGAUCCAGCCAUGUCGCGUGUGUGAAGAAGGUCUUCGGAUUGUAAAGCACUUUAAGUUGGGAGGAAGGGCAGUAAGUUAAUACCUUGCUGUUUUGACGUUACCAACAGAAUAAGCACCGGCUAACUUCGUGCCAGCAGCCGCGGUAAUACGAAGGGUGCAAGCGUUAAUCGGAAUUACUGGGCGUAAAGCGCGCGUAGGUGGUUUUGUAAGUUGGAGGUGAAAUCCCCGGGCUCAACCUGGGAACUGCCUCCAAAACUGCAUGACUAGAGUACGGUAGAGGGUAGUGGAAUUUCCUGUGUAGCGGUGAAAUGCGUAGAUAUAGGAAGGAACACCAGUGGCGAAGGCGACUACCUGGACUGAUACUGACACUGAGGUGCGAAAGCGUGGGGAGCAAACAGGAUUAGAAACCCUGGUAGUCC
rnacentral:rRNA from 1 species